GACGAACGCUGGCGGCGUGCUUAACACAUGCAAGUCGAACGGAAAGGCCCUGCUUUUGUGGGGUGCUCGAGUGGCGAACGGGUGAGUAACACGUGAGUAACCUGCCCUUGACUUUGGGAUAACUUCAGGAAACUGGGGCUAAUACCGGAUAGGAGCUCCUGCUGCAUGGUGGGGGUUGGAAAGUUUCGGCGGUUGGGGAUGGACUCGCGGCUUAUCAGCUUGUUGGUGGGGUAGUGGCUUACCAAGGCUUUGACGGGUAGCCGGCCUGAGAGGGUGACCGGCCACAUUGGGACUGAGAUACGGCCCAGACUCCUACGGGAGGCAGCAGUGGGGAAUAUUGCACAAUGGGCGGAAGCCUGAUGCAGCAACGCCGCGUUCGGGAUGACGGCCUUCGGGUUAUAAACCGCUUUCGCCUGUGACGAAGCGUGAGUGACGGUAAUGGGUAAAGAAGCACCGGCUAACUACGUG
rnacentral:rRNA from 1 species